UGGGGAAUAUUAGUAAUGGGCGAAAGCCUGAACUAGCAACGCCGCGUGUGCGAAGAAGGCCUUCGGGUUGUAAAGCACAUUUUGAGAGGAUGAGGAAGGACGGUACUCUCAGAAUAAGUCUCGGCUAACUAUGUGCCAGCAGCCGCGGUAACACGUAGGAGGCAAACGUUAUCCGGAUUUACUGGGCGUAAAGCGCGUGUAGGUGGUUUGGUAAGUAGGGCGUGAAAGCUCCUGGCUCAACUGGGAGAGGCCGUUCUAAACUGCCGAACUAGAGGAUGGUAGAGGGAGGUGGAAUUCCGGGUGUAGCGGUGGAAUGCGCGGAUAUCCGGAGGAACACCAGUGGCGAAGGCGGCCUCCUGGACCAUUCCUGACACUCAGACGCGAAAGCUAGGGUAGCAAACGG
rnacentral:rRNA from 1 species